GCGCGAAAACUUUACAAUGCGGGAAACCGUGAUAAGGGAAUCUCGAGUGCCAGCAUAUAAUGUUGGCUGUCCAGAUGCCUAAAAAGCAUCUGUUAGCAAGGGCCGGGCAAGACCGGUGCCAGCCGCCGCGGUAACACCGGCGGCCCGAGUGGUAACCGUUUUUAUUGGGUCUAAAGGGUCUGUAGCCGGCCAUGUAAGUCCCUCGGGAAAUCUGGCAGCUCAACUGUCAGGCUGCUAGGGGAUACUGUUUGGCUUGGGACCGGGAGAGGUGAGAGGUACCUUGGGGGUAGGGGUGAAAUCUUGUGAUCCUCGGGGGACCACCAGUGGCGAAGGCGUCUCACCAGAACGGGUCCGACGGUAAGGGACGAAAGCUAGGGGCACGAACCGGAUUAGAUACCCGGGUAGUCCUAGCCGUAAACGAUGCUCGCUAGGUGUCAGUCACGGUGCGACCGUGAUUGGUGCCGUAGGGAAGCCGUGAAGCGAGCCACCUGGGAAGUAUGGCCGCAAGGCUGAAACUUAAAGGAAUUGGCGGGGGAGCACUACAACGGGUGGAGCCUGCGGUUUAAUUGGAUUCAACGCCGGAAAUCUCACCGGGGGCGACAGCAAUAUGAAGGUCAGGCUGAAGACCUUACCGGAUUAGCU
rnacentral:rRNA from 1 species